CAAAGAAAAACUCCUAAAAGAGAUGAAUAAUCUUCUCUUUUCCCUUUCUCUCUUUUCUUCCUCUCUUUUCUUUCUCUCUUUUCUUUCUCUUCUCUUGCUGAAUUACUAAAUGGAUUGUCGAUUCUUUGAUCAGAUCGUCAGAAUAACAAAAAA
rnacentral:ribozyme from 13 species